rnacentral:tRNA from 1 species
CGGGGAGAAUUGGUAUUCACGCUGGUCUCAUAAACCAGCCUCCGUUGGUUCGAUUCCAACCUCCGCAACCA